rnacentral:rRNA from 1 species
UCCGUAGGCGGCCAUGUGUGUCGGGUGUGAAAUCCUGCAGCUUAACUGUAGACUUGCGCCCGAAACUACAUGGUUAGAGUAUUGGAGAGGUGAGUGGAAUUCCUGGUGUAGCGGUGAAAUGCGUAGAUAUCAGGAGGAACACCAACGGGCGAAGGCAGCUCACUGGACAAUUACUGACGCUGAGGGACAAAGUGUGGGGAGCAAAAG